UGGACGGGGUGAAGCGGCGCGAAACCUCUGCAAUAGGCGAAAGCUUGACAGGGUUACUCUGAGUGAUGUCCGCUAAGGGCAUCUUUUGGCACCUCUAAAAAUGGUGCAGAAUAAGGGGUGGGCAAGUCUGGUGUCAGCCGCCGCGGUAAUACCAGCACCCCGAGUGGUCGGGACGAUUAUUGGGCCUAAAGCAUCCGUAGCUUGUUCUGCAAGUCCUCCGCUAAAUCCACCUGCUCAACAGAUGGGCUGCGGAGGAUACUACAGGGCUAGGAGGCGGGAGAGGCAAACGGUACUCAGUGGGUAGGGGUAAAAUCCUCUGAUCCAUUGAAGACCACCAGUGGCGAAGGCGGUUUGCCAGAACGCGCUCGACGGUGAGGGAUGAAAGCUGGGGGAGCAAACCGGAUUAGAUACCCGGGUAGUCCCAGCUGUAAACGAUGCAGACUCGGUGAUGGGUUGGCUUCGAGCCAACCCAGUGCCGCAGGGAAGCCGUUAAGUCUGCCGCCUGGGGAGUACGGUCGCAAGACUGAAACUUAAAGGAAUUGGCGGGGGAGCACCACAAGGGGUGAAGCCUGCGGUUCAAUUGGAGUCAACGCCGGGAAUCUUACCGGGGGCGACAGCAGUGUGAAGGUCAAGCUGAAGACUUUACCAGACAAGCUGAGAGGAGGUGCAUGGCCGUCGCCAGCUCGUGCCGUGAGGUGUCCUGUUAAGUCAGGUAACGAGCAAGAUCCCUGCCUCUAGUUGCUACCACUGUUCUCCGGAACGGAGGGGCUAAUUAGAGGGACCGCCGCCGCUGAGGCGGAGGAAGGAGGGGGCUACGGCAGGUCAGUAUGCCCCGAAACCCUCGGGCCACACGCGGGCUGCAAUGGUAAGGACAGCGAGUUCCGAUUCCGAAAGGAGGAGGCAAUCUCACAAACCUUACCUCAGUUAUGAUUGAGGGCUGAAACUCGCCCUCAUGAAUAUGGAAUCCCUAGUAACCGCGUGUCACCAUCGCGCGGUGAAUACGUCCCUGCUCCUUGCAGGAAUUCGCCGA
rnacentral:rRNA from 1 species